UGGGCAGACUGCCUCACACUUUGUCAUCCGCCCCGUUCCCGGUGCCAGCAUCAAUGCGGGUAUUUGCCCUGGAAGCAGUACCCGAGGAGAGAAAAUUAACACAGUGUCUAUGAAACGGGAGUCAAUCCCGUGUCAAGCAGCAUGCUACUAAAUGUAAACCCAGUUUUGCCUUUUCCAGAAUGUCAUGAAAAUGGAAUCAGACCGUAUGUAGCCUUUUGAGGAUAGUGGAUCUCCCCCGCCACCCCAACUCUAGUGAGCUUUCAGAUGAGAUUGUAGCCGCAGAUGACAAUGUUUUCAAAGAACCACCCAGUACUUUCAUCAACAAACCCACAUGCCAGGAGAGCUCAGCAAUAUUAACACUAAAGCCCUGGAAGGCUUAUGUGGCUAGCCCUGGGCUCCCAGUGAGUGAGUCAAUGAAUAUGAUCCUCUCCAGGAAAUAAGUCUCAAGACCUCAAGUUGCACAUCUAUUUGCCACUUUGGACAGUUGGUUGCUAACCAUACUUAAUCAUAAGGCUAUCUAUGAACAUUUCUGCACUAUCAUGACCUUGGCAUCAUUAUAUUCUAGGGAAAAGCCCUGCAAAAGGUAACUUUUCGAGAUUGAAUAAAUAGGAAAGAACAUUAAUUACUCUCUGAGUUUAGCUUAAAACUGUAACACAGAAUCAGCAGUUUGGAAAGCCAACUUUUCCUGCUGACAUGUGUCAGACACCAUGCUGGGCACUGGAGACUCAGAAGCCACUUUGUCGAGAUGAAACACUGUAUCUCCUUGCAGAGCAAACCCUCCUGCCUCCCCCUCAGAGGGGUUCCUCCAUGGAGGAAACUAGAUAGGAGGACUUAGAGGGCUGGUGUUUACAUUGUACUUUUUGUUUUGAAAAACACUUCACAAGAGUCUGUGAAGGAGAGCGGGCACAUCUGGCAUUUGAGGAAGCAGAUACAGAAAAUUUAAAUGACUCAUUCAGAGUCCAAAAGCAAAUUUAUGACAACAAACAGGCCUAGAACCUGGGUCUUAAUUUCAAGUUGCAUUCUUCUCACACUACUGUGCAGUUGACUUCAAAUUAGGUAGCUCUAAUUUUGGUUAAAGAAAUAUAAAUCUACCUUAAAGGAACCCAAUAUUAAAAUAGAAACAUCUUUAAUAUUGUAUGACAAAAUGGGGAGGAGGGGAGGAAAGGGCAGGAAGUAUGAAUUAUUUGCAUUUAAAAAUAUUUCUCACUUUACGUAAAAUACACUUAGAUUUCUUUUCAUACAGAUUAUCUUAGAAAUUUAUCCAUUCCUUUUUUUUUCUUUGAAAUGCUUUCAUUAUAUUUUCUUGUGGUGAAAAACACGUAACAUUAAAUUUACUACCUUUUUUUUUUUAGACAUGAAGUCUUGCUAUGUUGCCCAGGCUGAGGUGCAGUG